AAAGGCGAAGUAUAAAAUUUUUACAUUUCAGUUACAUUGAAAAAAUCCAGGUUAAAGGCGUUUUUA
rnacentral:tRNA from 1 species